rnacentral:rRNA from 1 species
AACUAACGCUGGCGGCGUGCCUAACACAUGCAAGUCGUACGAGAAAGCCGGCUUCGGCUGGUGAGUAAAAGUGGCGCACGGGUGAGUAACGCGUGGAUAAUCUGCCCUUAAGUGUGGAAUAACGUACCGAAAGGUGCGCUAAUACCGCAUAAUGCCUGGCAACACAAGUUGUCCGGCCAAAGAAGGCCUCUGUUUACAAGCUUUCGCUUCAGGAUGAGACCGCGUACCAUUAGCUUGUUGGUGGGGUAAUGGCCUACCAAGGCUGCGAUGGUUAGCUGGUCUGAGAGGAUGAUCAGCCACACUGGAACUGAGACACGGUCCAGACUCCUACGGGAGGCAGCAGUGAGGAAUAUUGCGCAAUGGGGGCAACCCUGACGCAGCAACGCCGCGUGAGUGAGGAAGGUUUUCGGACUGUAAAGCUCUGUCGAGCGGGAAGAAGUGUACCAUGGCUAAUAUCCAUGAUAUUUGACGGUACCGCUACGAGGAACG